rnacentral:rRNA from 1 species
AUGUACAUUUUUUUAUGUCGUGAUCCUAAAUGUAAACUUGAUGAUGCUGAAAUUACAAAUGAAUUCUCGGCAGUGCAUGUUGAUAUGACACUUGUGAAAACUGAAGAUUUUGUCCGGAGUCGUAAAACAUGUAAUAUUCUCGGUAAUGCAGAAGAAGCAAAGAUUGCAUUGCCUUCAACCUUUGUAUGUGAAAUAUCCUGCCUAUAUCACUACUUGCAUCAUGUCAAUGCAUUGUGUGUUAACAAUUCAUUUUGUUACUUUCUUUGUAGAUUCAAAAGAUAUAUGGAUGAUUGUAUGGGUGCGUGGCAAGAAUACUGCAAUGAUGAUGAUGGUGUUCUGGUUCAUGAUGAUGAUGAUGAUGAUGAUGAUGAUGGUUGUAGUUAA